UGUGGGCCUGAAGGUCCAUAGACGAUAUAUCAGUCUAUAAGCAUUUAGUCUACUGUUCGAGGAAAACAGAUAAGGGUGCAGCUUAAGCGAAAAGAAAAAUGUCUUAUUGCCAGUGUCUAAACCAACAACGGAAUGUGUCUCCGAGACCAUCUAUAUUGGAUGGACACACGCGUACUUAAAACAACCCCGCCUG
rfam:Myotis brandtii contig188110, whole genome shotgun sequence.